rnacentral:rRNA from 1 species
GACAGAGGAGCCAAGCGUUGUCCGGAUUGACUGGGCGUAAAGCGCACGCAGGCGGGUGCGCGCGUGGGGUGUGAAACCUGGCCGCUUAACGGCCAGCGGCCAUCCCAUACGGCGCGCCUGGAGCCUUGCAGAGGGCGGUGGAAUUCCCAGUGUAGCGGUGAAAUGCGUAGAGAUUGGGAAGAACACCAGCGGCGAAAGCGUGCUACUGGGUCUGCACUGACACUGAGGGACGAAAGCUAGGGGAGCGAAAGGG